AGAGGAGAGUGGGAGGUCCCCUUCCUCCCUCACCGCUCCAUGUGCGUCCCUCCCGAAGCUGCACGCUCGGUCGAAGAGGACGACCUUCCCCGAUAGAGGCGUGUACCGUUCAUCGGUCAAGGGUAUACGGUAGCUGCGCUCCCCUGCUAGAACCUCCAAACAAGCUCAAGGUCCAUUUGUAGGAGAACGUAGGGUAGUCAAGCUUCCAAGACUGCAGACACAUCCAAGUGAGGCACUGCAUGGGGCAGUCUGC
rnacentral:snRNA from 1 species